rnacentral:lncRNA from 1 species
GAGGUGGAUCCUCCAAGACCUACCUCCUCCCACAUGCAUUUUUCGGUAUAAAAGGUUGAUCACUGCAGAGGAGUUGUGUUUCUUUGGGUUUUGGUGUCUGAUUUUAUCAUGUCUUUUUGCCAGGCAGUGGAUUUCAUGGUGAGCGAGGCAAGAAGGUAUAAGAUGCGGUUAAUACUGUCACUAUGUAAUAACUGGGAAGAUUAUGGAGGGAAGGCACAAUAUGUAAGAUGGGGCAAGGAGGCUAGCGUGGAUCUUACUUCUGACGAUGACUUCUUCUCUGAUCCAACACUUAAAGGGUACUACAAAGCUUUUGUUGAGGUAAAUUUCUGGUUCCUUACCUCAGAUAGCCAUCGGAAAUGGGUUCUUGAUAUCUAUCAUGCUGCGUGACCAAUGGAAAUCAUAAUAUGCUUAGCUAUAUGAAAUGACACCAGCAAAUUGUUAUUGCUAAUUGAGGUGUACUUAGGUAGACCCAUCCCCCCUCCACAAAAAAAUGGCAACGUAUACCCACCUCGUACUUUACACAGCAGGUCGUCGUACGUACGUAAUACGAGGUGGGUACAAUGUGAGGUACGUACGGCGGUAUGUUAGUGUACAAUACGAGGUGGGUAUACGUUUCCCCUUCUACGUUUUGUGUCUAAGUGUUGCUAAUUUUAGUUUGCCAUCUCUGAAUUCUGUAGUACUGUAUUCCUUCUAUACCAGAGUUCCAAUACUAUGCAUAUGUUUCCUUUGUUUAGGAUGUUUUGUCAAGAAUAAACACAAUCACAAAUGAGGCCUACAAAGACGAUCCUACUAUCCUUGCCUGGGAGCUGAUUAACGAGCCGCGUUGCCCUUCAGAUCCAUCAUGCGAUACGCUGCAGGUCCUUUAUUGUGGUCUUAUUUUUGUGAACUUUUACGUUCCAUGUAUGUUUGUCCACUGUACAUUUUGAAGAAAUUGGGUUCUCGUAGGCAUGGAUAGAAGAGAUGGCAUCUUACGUGAAGUCUAUAGAUACGGUGCACCUGGUGAAGAUUGGUAUUGAAGGGUAUUGUGGUUCGUCUACUCCAGAACUCUUGCUCAUCAACCCAGAUGAUUAUUCAGGGCAUGUUGGAACGGACUUUAUCAGGAACCAUUAAGCACUGGGAAUUGAUUAAGCUUCAGCUCAUAUUUAUUCACACACUUCGUAAGUCCUCAUGUCUGAUCCCACAUAACAUAUACAACUGAGUAGCUAUAGCAGCUGAAUUAAACCAUUCACAGAAAUACGGAAUUUACUAUCAGGGCUGAACUUAGGACUUUUUGCUAGGUUGCCUGACUCAACAGAGGAAAGACACAUUCAGUUUGUGACCACUUGGAUGCAACAACAUAUUGAUGAUGUAGCAAACUUGCUGGCCAUGCCCAUUGUGAUCGGGGAGUUCGGAUUAUCACUGAAGGACGGCAAGUUUGAAAACGAGUUCCGUGAAACUUUCAUGCAGACAGUGUACAACAAUUUAUUGGGUUCUUGGGAGAGUGGAAUGGUUGGAGGAGGCUGCCUUCUAUGGCAACUCUUCCCUGAAGGUGCAGAACACAUGGACGACGGUUAUGCAGUUAUUUUUGCAAAAUCACCAUCCACAUUCAACCUACUUGCAAAUCACUCAAGGAAGCUAGAAUGAUGAGAGCAUGUUGCUUCCCCUUCCCAUGCUACGACUUCGUUCGGUAUACAGGAAUGUUGCAGGAACAUUUAAAGGACCAGUUUCCGUAGGAACUUUUAAAGGACCAAUUCAGUAUACAUGGUUUUUGAAGCCAAGAUCUUACUGUAAAGUUGAAUGCCUUAUGUAUAUCAUGUACCCUAAUAGCUGGUCUCUGGUUCAAAAGAAUGUGAUACCAUGAAAAAAGGUAGAGAUUGAAUUGUGCAAUAAAAAUUUGCCCCUCCAUCCUGCGAAUAAUAUAUUUGUGGCAUUUUGUUUCCAUUUUAUGUACGUAUUUGUUUGUCAUAUAUGCAUAUGCAAACAAAGUCAUGUUGAAUGGUACCCUCCAUCCCCAGAACGUUGGGUAAGUGUAAUAUUGCAUUUGGUAUUGUAGUAGAACGUUAAGGUUUAAUAAAGAGUGUGGAUUCAUGAGCACAUGGGCACAUGGCCAGAUAUGUUUAAUAUGUCACUUGCCCUGUCAUGCUUAUAGUUUUCUAUUUUUGUUUCUCAAUUAUAUUACGGAGGCACAUCUCCAGUGUUUCUAUUGCAGUUGUAGUUCUGCAAAUGCUGUUUCUUUAGAAAAUAGCGAAUGUUGUGCUCAUAGUAGCAAAUGCUUAGCUGGAAUUUUUCAGAUAUACUAUCCUCAAAUUGUGCAGAUGUACAUUAAAGAUUCCCUGAUUUUUUUUUCUGCAAAUGCACAGCUGGAAUUGCGUUUUUGUGGUUUAAAUUCCAUUUGUUAGACAAGCAUGUACUAUUGAUCUUUAGUUUCUAUGUAUCAUCAUCAGAUUUCGGUAAGAGUUCGAGCAUCUUUUGUUUUCAUUUUCCAGAACCAAUAUGUUUUGAUGCAUUUGCUUUGACCAAACAAUGUCAAUGAGUUGAGCUUAAGAAAAUCAAACGAAGCAUUUAUUCGUAGUCCGAAAUCCAAGUAGUUCAAAAACGCGCACCUACAUAUGAGUGUUACCAAUCCAUAAAUCAACAAAUGACAAGUAUAACAAGAGCUAGCUUAUCACGUCAUAGUGAAAAUGUAUGAAUUGAAGUGGAGUGGUGAUACCAAAGCUAGAGCAUGGAGUGGACCAAGAAUAAAGAGGGCAAAGGAAUAGCAAAGUUUGUCUUGUUAGUUCAAAGAAAGAAACAUUGUUAUGUUGUCCCGUGGCAACGCGCGGGCAUUUAACUAGUAGAUAUAGAUGCCCUAUGAUAAAACGUAGCUUUCGGCAUUUAUAUUAAUUUUUUCUCUCCAAUGCAAGCUACCACCAGGAUGCCUCGUUAAAGAAUAAAACAAAUAAAGACUCUUUAUUUUUCACUCUAAUAUUUUCAGCUUUUUACACCGGACGGCAUCUUUUCUCUUCAAGCAUCCGCCUCCUGCAUAGGAUCCCGCUUCCUUAUCCAAACCUACUUUUUCUAUCAUCCGAUCCUACAUGGCAUACGGGCAUCACCUUCAGGCUAUGCAUUGUACAUGCCCUUAGGUUUCCUCUUUCUUGUCACUGGUCACAUUGUGUGCCAUCUUCAUCGGGAUGAGGGUGAACCCACCUGGAGCAAGGCACGCAGGCGGCCAACACGGAAGGAGCCCCCAAGCUCCUACACGCGAGAGAUGCAGUCGCACAAAGUUGGGGUCGAUCGGCCCGAUUUGUGGCUGCCCGCCGGAGCCAGCUCGUGGUUGCUAGCAUCACUGGAGGCCAACGCCGAGAAGCUCUACUACCAUCGGGUGGGAGCAGAGCUUCGCCGAAGAACACAUUUGACAGAUCCCUUCCUUUUCCAACCUAACUACUCUCUUCGUUUUUAAAUAUAAGUUUUUUUAAAAGAUUUCAUUAAAAGGUUACGGGUAAAUAUAUAUAGACAUACUUUAGAGUGUAGAUUCAUUCAUUUAUUUUUGUAUGUAGUCUUUUAAUAAUAUUUUUUAAAGAUUUAUAUUUAGGAAUGAAGAGAGUAUUAGGCUUGCUCCACGAUGAAUAUUCUAGCGCACUUGAUGAGUAGCACAUGGGUAGAGUGAGUUUCCACAGCAACAUGCAAAAGGCAUUUAAAAAUCCGUGCCAAGCAAGCAAGCAAGCAGGCCAGGAUCGAUGCAUGACAUGCGGUCACUCACAUGGCAGCCGCGCACACAAGGACAGAUCGGAAGCUUCUUCUUGCUUUAUCAGACUUGGUACGCGGGCGAAGCCAACUUUAAGCCAAGCUCCCCGUAGUUGGGCUCCAACGACGGGUCCACCACGUUCCCCACACUCGCACGACGCUAGCUUGUUGCUUGACGCGUCGUCGUCCUGACGCACAUGCACAUGUUGACGACCGCGCGCGUCGGUGGCCCCAGCCUCCAUCCAACGCACCGCGCACCUCGCCUCGCCUCCGUCCGCGCCGAGCUCGCUCCCAUAAUGCACGCUCAUGCAUGUGGCCGACCUGAUCCGCGGACCCACGGAUUUAGGGGCCGCCACAUGGUCAUCGCUUUCGAGCCAUACCGGAGGUUAGCAGCCAGCUCAGGAGGUACCCAUGCUACCUGUCUCCCUGAUGCAGCAGUACUGCAGUUACGGCCUUCCCCUGCUUCUAAACCUACUGCUCCCAUUCUAACGAAUCCCAACUAAUAUUCCUCCAUUCUACUUUGUGGAUCGUGACAGCAUCAUAAGAAGGCUGGCGGGGAGGAGGGUCAGCACGGCCUUUUCUCUCGGGUUCUCACAGAGGACAGAGCUACGCUACACACCUUUUCUCUCGUAGGCUGUCUCGCAAGUUACGUUAGCCAACGCCCGAAACGCUCGCCGUGGAUAGGAUGCGGCGGCCGGCCAUGGGAAGGGCAAUGGCGCCGGUCCUCGUGCUGGCGGUCCUGGCCGUCGCGGCGGCCACGGCGCCCGGGGCUGUUGACGGGGAUGUCAAGUGCGCUGAGUGCGGCACGGGCACGGUGCCGGUGCUCCCGCCUCCGCCGCCGUACUACUACUACAGCCCUCCACCUCCGGCGUCCUACCCCGGUGUGUCCAACUGCCCGCCGCCGCCAGGAGGGUACAUCCAGAUCGGAGGCUCGGCGCCUGGCAAGGGGCGUAUGUACCCGCAGGACCCCGGGUUCAUGCCAUCCAGCGCGCCGCGCACCGUCCACUUCACGGUAUGCUCGUUUGCGGCGUUGGCGGUUCUACGGAUCUUUUGGUGAUCGAUCUGCAGCAAUUGCGCUUGCGCUUGCGCGGCCAUCAUCUCCGUUACGUCUCGCGACGGGAGGACAGAGGCAUGCCGGCGUUCCAUGGAUUUCCUGUGUAUGCAUUCACCUUGUAAUAGUUCUUACUGGUCAUAUGUUUUGUAGUUCUUGCAAUGCAUCAAGCUC